rnacentral:rRNA from 1 species
GAUGAACGCUGGCGGCGCGCCUAAUACAUGCAAGUCGAGCGAACAGACGAGGAGCUUGCUCCUCUGACGUUAGCGGCGGACGGGUGAGUAACACGUGGAUAACCUACCUAUAAGACUGGGAUAACUUCGGGAAACCGGAGCUAAUACCGGAUAAUAUAUUGAACCGCAUGGUUCAAUAGUGAAAGACGGUUUUGCUGUCACUUAUAGAUGGAUCCGCGCCGCAUUAGCUAGUUGGUAAGGUAAUGGCUUACCAAGGCAACGAUGCGUAGCCGACCCGAGAGGGUGAUCGGCCACACUGGAACUGAGACACGGUCCAGACUCCUACGGGAGGCAGCAGUAGGGAAUCUUCCGCAAUGGGCGAAAGCCUGACGGAGCAACGCCGCGUGAGUGAUGAAGGUCUUCGGAUCGUAAAACUCUGUUAUUAGGGAAGAACAAAUGUGUAAGUAACUAUGCACGUCUUGACGGUACCUAAUCAGAAAGCCACGGCUAACUACGUG